AUGGUGUACUUGGGGUUGUACUCAUCCUUCUCCUUCCUCCAAACAUGAUUCCGUCUCUCACAGUUGAAGAGUAGCUAUGAUAAAAAUUACAGACCUCUACAUGCUUUACGAGUAUAGACACCUGUGAACACAAAGAACCUGGAG